UACAAAGGGGUGCCCGCACGGGCUGAGAUCAUACCCUCGAACCUGAUGCAGUUAAUGCUGACGUAGGAAUUGUGUAUAU
rnacentral:ncRNA from 1 species